rnacentral:rRNA from 1 species
UACGUAGGGUGCAAGCGUUGUCCGGAUUUAUUGGGCGUAAAGAGCUCGUAGGCGGUCUGUCGCGUCGGAUGUGAAAACCCAGGGCUCAACCCUGGGCCUGCAUUCGAUACGGGCAGACUAGAGUACGGCAGGGGAGACUGGAAUUCCUGGUGUAGCGGUGGAAUGCGCAGAUAUCAGGAGGAACACCGGUGGCGAAGGCGGGUCUCUGGGCAGUAACUGACGCUGAGGAGCGAAAGCGUGGGGAGCGAACAGG